rnacentral:rRNA from 1 species
UAGUCCACGCCGUAAACGAUGUCAACUAGCCGUUGGGAAUUUUACAUUCUUAGUGGCGUAGCUAACGCGCUAAGUUGACCGCCUGGGGAGUACGGACGCAAGUUUAAAACUCAAAUGAAUUGACGGGGGCCCGCACAAGCGGUGGAGCAUGUGGUUUAAUUCGAUGCAACGCGAAGAACCUUACCAAUCCUUGACAUCCACGGAAUCCUUUAGAGAUAAAGGAGUGCCUUCGGGAACCGUGAGACAGGUGCUGCAUGGCUGUCGUCAGCUCGUGUUGUGAAAUGUUGGGUUAAGUCCCGUAACGAGCGCAACCCCUAUCCUUAGUUGCUACCAUUAAGUUGAGGACUCUAAGGAGACUGCUGGUGACAAACCGGAGGAAGGUGGGGACGACGUCAAGUCAUCAUGGCCCUUACGGAUUGGGCUACACACGUGCUACAAUGGGGUAUACAGAGGGUUGCGAAGCUGCGAAGUGGAGCGAAUCCCAGAAAGUACCUCGUAGUCCGGAUUGGAGUCUGCAACUCGACUCCA